CCAAAACUAACCUUCACAUCUUUGUUUCGAGAAACGGACGGAGAGAAACAAAAAUAAAAAAUGAAAAACAGAUCGAUUGGGGGAAAAUGAGAAAACAAUAGGUUUUACUAGUUCCGAUCUAAAUCUAUUGAUGGAGUGAUGAACAAUAGAUUUAUCAAAUUAGAUAUAGGUUUUUGAUUCAGUUGAAUCCGCUCAAAGGAAUCUCUCCAUUGACAUCUCUUCAAGCUCAGUUUCCGUAAGAAGUAUAUUUGAUCUUCAACUAUUAAAAGCCAAACAGUGAAUACGUACUCUAUGCAACUCAAUGCCUCUCGUGUCAAAGUUCUUCAAGCACCAGAUAAUUUGGUCAGCUCAACUAAGGAUGCAACUGCAAAGGAACUAUUGAAGGUGAGCGAUGGAUAUCGCUACAGAAGCAUUACUAUUUUCAUAUCAAGGGUCUACCUUGUAACUAGUUGAAAGGAUCAGGGGUUAUCUCAAAGCAUUGGUUAUACUGAGUGGAUACUCUCAAAGGAAGGAUCUCGUAUUCUACCAAACGGGUUUCUUGUUGUUAAGUUUCCCGGAAGAUCUGUUUUUAAGGAAGCAUUUAAAAGAUACCUUGCAAUUCAGAUGAAGUUGAAUUGAUGUCGUUUAAAAGAUAUACUGGGUCGCAAAAAAGUACCAACAUCCUCAUUGGUCUCUUAUAGUUUUCUUUGCUCUCUAUUUUUUCCCUACUGUUAUGGUCUGUAAUCAAGCACGAAUGCAUUUUUAUCACUGAUGGGAUGUAUAAUUUUUUCAUGUACAGACAUUAUCCACAAAAUUUUCUUAGAGUGCAGAAUUUUAUUCACAGUUUUUCUAUUUGUAA